rnacentral:lncRNA from 1 species
GACACUCUGAAACUGCGUACAAAAAAAAAGAGAAUAUUUGAGGAGCGAUACCUUUAUCGGAAUGAAAUAUUUACGCAAUAUUGACCUUUCAUAUAACCGUUUGAGGUACAUAGAACCCGGAUUGUUAUUAAAUAUGGCUGCAAGUCUUCUCAAUUUUGAUGUGUCUAAUAAUUUAUUGACCACAGUAGAUAUCACUAAUAUUUUGUGGGAAAAUCAACCAGCGUUCUGCGAAACCAAUUUUUCCU